UGCUCCUUUGACGUUAGCGGCGGACGGGUGAGUAACACGUGGGUAACCUACCUAUAAGACUGGGAUAACUUCGGGAAACCGGAGCUAAUACCGGAUAAUAUUUCGAACCGCAUGGUUCGAUAGUGAAAGAUGGUUUUGCUAUCACUUAUAGAUGGACCCGCGCCGUAUUAGCUAGUUGGUAAGGUAACGGCUUACCAAGGCGACGAUACGUAGCCGACCUGAGAGGGUGAUCGGCCACACUGGAACUGAGACACGGUCCAGACUCCUACGGGAGGCAGCAGUAGGGAAUCUUCCGCAAUGGGCGAAAGCCUGACGGAGCAACGCCGCGUGAGUGAUGAAGGUCUUCGGAUCGUAAAACUCUGUUAUUAGGGAAGAACAUACGUGUAAGUAACUAUGCACGUCUUGACGGUACCUAAUCAGAAAGCCACGGCUAACUACGUGCCAGCAGCCGCGGUAAUACGUAGGUGGCAAGCGUUAUCCGGAAUUAUUGGGCGUAAAGCGCGCG
rnacentral:rRNA from 1 species